UCUCUCUCUCUCUCUCUCUCUCUCUUGUCUUUUUCUCUGUCUCUCGUAUUGGUAAUUCAUUUCUUCGGAGUCUUUUUUCUAGAGGUGCAGGUGAAAUUUACUUGUCAUGCUCUAUUUUUGUUGAGAAAUCGAUGACGAAUCAUGUCUCAUAGUUGCCAUUUGCCGUUCGAAGUCUUGGUUCAGUUAUUUUUAGGCCUGAGAUAAAUACUUCCAUUUUUAUGGGUAUAACACAAGCAUCAGAUGUUCUAUUCUAAGAAAAUUUAUACCAUAGGGAUUGCUUUAACUAGAAACUCUUGAGAUAAUCUCGACCCCUUGUACAGACACAAGACAAGCAUCACAUCUUGUACUUUACGAAGAAUUACCAAGACAACUAUCUAGAAGCUUAUCAGGUCGAGAAACCAGAUGUUAGGAAAGAACAUGGCUCGAGUUUCUCUAGUUCUUCUCAUUUUGGUGGCAUUAGGGUUUUUCUUUGCUACCUAUAAUAUGUUGACCCUGAUACUCCACCUCAGAUCUCAAACUUCAGGCAAAAGUGAGCCAUCAGAACUCUUCGAUCCAGUGAUCACGAUGCCUGAGGAACUGAAGAAAGAAAAGAGGAAAAUGCCCUUCCAUGUUGCCCUUACAGCUACUGAUGCCCCAUAUAGCAAAUGGCAGUGUCGAAUAAUGUAUUAUUGGUAUAAGAAGGUGAAGGAUCUGCCUGGGUCUGAGAUGGGUGGAUUCACCAGGGUCCUUCAUUCAGGGAGACCUGACAAUUUAAUGAAUGAGAUUCCCACUUUUGUCGUUGAUCCUCUCCCCUCUGGCCUUGAUCGAGGCUACAUUGUCUUGAACAGACCAUGGGCGUUCGUGCAAUGGCUUCAAAAAGCUCAAAUCAAGGAGGAAGUUUGUUCUCAUGGACAAUGCAGCUAUAUAAUGAUGGCAGAACCUGACCAUAUUUUCACAAAACCACUGCCAAACUUAGCGAAAGGAGAGUACCCAGCAGCUUUCUCGUUCUUUUACAUUAAGCCAGCUGAGAAUGAGAAAAUAAUUAGGAAGUUCUACCCAGAAGAGAAAGGCGCAAUAACAAAUGUUGAUCCAAUUGGUAAUUCUCCAGUGAUUAUUCUGAAGUCUCAAUUGGAGAAAAUUGCUCCUACUUGGAUGAAUGUGUCUUUGGGAAUGAAGGAUGAUCCCAAGGCUGAUACAGCUUUUGGUUGGGUGCUAGAAAUGUAUGCAUAUGCUGUAGCAUCUGCAUUGCAUGGUGUGAAGCAUAUUCUUCGCAAAGAUUUUAUGAUUCAGCCUCCCUGGGAUUUAUCAAGUGAGAAGUCAUUUAUUAUUCACUACACUUACGGAUGCGAUUAUAAUCUUAAGGGUGAGCUCACAUAUGGGGUGAUAGGUGAGUGGCGAUUUGACAAAAGAUCAUAUCUUCGUGGUCCACCACCGCGAAAUCUGUCCUUGCCCCCUCCUGGAGUUCCUGAAAGUGUGAUACACCUGUAGAAUACUCUCUCUCUCUCUCUCUCUCUCUCUCUCUCUCUCUCUCGCUUCGGACAUGGUGUCAAUAUUGGAUUUUGGUCUUUUAUAGACGGGAUCAUUGUCAAUUCUUGGAGCAGUAAGGAGCAAGCAAAGCUCGCAUACUCACUGAUAUCACAUUGUCAUUCUAUCUUAGUUGAGACAUGGUUUUUUAUCUCAGCAGUCAUUUGCAUUACGUUAUGACAGUUGCAGUGCACUGCUAAUCCAAUGUUUCUUGCAAGCUCUCUAUGAAGGUGGUUUAUCAUUUCUUGGACGAAUGAGUGUAAUGUUAAGUUAUUGUGUUCACAAUGUUGCCAUGUCUUCAUAGUUCAAGGUGGCAUAUCAUUUCAUAGGUUGAAUAAGUGAAAUGUGGAGUAAAUAUUGUCUGUUUACACGUCUUCAUAUUUUUUACAAAGUUUACAGCCAGAGAUGAACAUCAAUAGUCGUGCUAGAUUAAAUCUUUGGAAGUGGCUAAUCAUUCUAUGUAUAGGACGUGAAAUUUUGUGUGAUUUUUUUUUUGGUGGGGAAAUCUUGGUUGACUGUUCAAUGUAUUUGCAUCCCAUAAUUAGAAGGCUUUUUUCUGAAGUUAUUAGUCUGAUACAGACAUCCAUGCUCUCUGCAUGUCGAUAUUUGUACAUAGGCUUCUGGAAAACUCUCAAAGAUACUCGUAUCUGUUAUUUUGUAAUAAAUAUAGUGAUUUUGUUUACUGUUUAGGUUGUGUAUGGUCCAUUUAUCUAUUGUGUAUGGAAGUUAUUCUCUCUCAGCAAUCAAAUUAAUUAACAUAGAUACCUCAGCUGAGACUUCCCUGAAGCUCAAAUGUGAUGCAUCCAAGUUUUAAAUUUUUAAUUCACCCUGCGUAUCAAAAAAUGAAAUAGGGGUAUUUAUCAAAAUUCCAUGAGAGAUAUGCUAUUAUCACUUUACACAUAUUGUUUGAUUUUAUUUCAAAUUACCCGUGAAAACACAUGAUCAUGAGUUGGGAUGGUUUCAAGUGUGUUUAAUGGUUUGUUGCUAAUUCCCCCUCCCCCCAAACAAAAACAAAAAAAAAAAUUUCCAUAGCUCUUCCAUGCUCAUUAUUACACUCUGCAGAGAGAGGUGUAAAACUGAGUUUUAAAACUUUUAGCCUGACCACUCCUCUGAUUACUCACUGCAUUUUAGAAACGCCAAUAUUGACUGGGAGACUAACUAUAACCUUCUUGGGAAAUACUAGAAUUGUGUACUAUGUAGCACUUUCUAUUUGCCGCUGUAUAUUAUCUUCUUUUUCUAUUCUUGUUUAUUUGUUCAGUAGCAAGGCAUUGUAUAGAUUACAGAAAUGCCUGAGCAUGUCUUAUACGUGGCUUUUUGUAUAUGAUAUUCAGCAGUUUUAUUUGGAGUUGCAUGUUGAGGUUGGACCCCCUCUUAGUUAUUCCCUGAACUUCCUCUAUAUAGUUGUUCAUUCUUUAUGAAGUUUAGCGAAGACUUGCUCGAAGUCAUGUUUCAAUGUUGCUAGAAUGGGAAAAGUUGAUUCUACUGAUGAUCUGAAAUUUUCUCUAUCUUUUCUUGUUACAUGAGUUUAGGAAACUGAGUAGUUAUACUUAAAAGCCAAUAAACAAUUAAGUGGAUUCUGCAAUAUAUAUGGUGAAUCUAUUGAACAAAGUAUUAUGUACGUAAAGGCUGUUUCCUCAUGUUUAUGUGUUAAAUAUUGAGGGCUUGCAACCAUAUUUUCUUUGAGAUCUUUGGUUUCUUCAAGAAAAAGAAGUCUAUCUUAGUGUUUCAAGCUAUAAACUACAAAAAAAUAUCUCUCCACAGAUUGAUAUUUCUUACUCUGGCUAUAGCUUAAGUUGUUUCUGUUACAUUUUGUGACCAGAAAGUUUAUAUAUAUUUCAAUUUAAAUGAUGGAAUUAAUUGUAAAAUGGAAGACUGAAAUGGUUUUGUAGAUGGAAGAAAUUGAACUGAUACUUGAGUAAUGGUUAUUUCUUUUUGUCCUUCGUUCCUCUCUGUGUUUUAUUCAGGUUACAUUGGUAAAGAGUGUUAAUGACGCCACUGCUAAUAUUCCUACUUGGGAUGAUGGAAAGUAACAGAGAAGAAAAAUACCUUGGAAAGCAGAUAGCUUGAAAAUAGUGUUCUAACAAAGUGGAAUUCAGUUGGGAGAUGCGCAACAUUUGAAGGCCUAUUUUGAAACAGGGUUCGCAGAAUCUUUGUUGAAUCUCAAACAAGGAUAUCAGAGUCUGUACACUUCCUGCUCAGGAUUACUCUGUUCUUUUCCUAUGAGGGAAAAGAAAAGUUAUAAAACUGAGUGUGAGAAAUACUUUUGUGCAAUUGCACAUUUUUGUACGCAAGUUAUAUAAAACAAUUUUUAGUUAUAGCCUUCAGCCCCUGCUGGGGAAAAAAUAAAGAGGAAAUCUGCGUCCCUCCAAUCUUUGCCAUAUUAUGCAGGCUGCACUGAUUAAUAAGAAAGCUUUCCAUACGCCACUAAGCAUAUGGAAUUUAUAUA